rnacentral:rRNA from 1 species
CAGCUCGUGUCGUGAGAUGUUGGUUAAGUCCCGCAACGAGCGCAACCCUUGUCAUUAGUUGCCAUCAUUUAGUUGGGCACUCUAAUGAGACUGCCGGUGACAACCGGAGGAAGGUGGGGAUGACGUCAAGUCCUCAUGGCCCUUAUGGGUAGGGCUUCACACGUCAUACAAUGGUCGGUACAGAGGGUUGCCAAGCCGCGAGGUGGAGCCAAUCCCUUAAAGCCGAUCGUAGUCCGGAUCGUAGUCUGCAACUCGACUACGUGAAGUCGGAAUCGCUAGUAAUCGCAGAUCAGCAUGCUGCGGUGAAUACGUUCCCGGGUCUU